GACGAACGCUGGCGGCGUGCUUAACACAUGCAAGUCGAACGGAGAGGCCCUGCUUUUGUGGGGUGCUCGAGUGGCGAACGGGUGAGUAACACGUGAGUAACCUGCCCUUGACUUUGGGAUAACUUCAGGAAACUGGGGCUAAUACCGGAUAGGAGCUCCUGCUGCAUGGUGGGGGUUGGAAAGUUUCGGCGGUUGGGGAUGGACUCGCGGCUUAUCAGCUUGUUGGUGGGGUAGCGGCUUACCAAGGCUUUGACGGGUAGCCGGCCUGAGAGGGUGACCGGCCACAUUGGGACUGAGAUACGGCCCAGACUCCUACGGGAGGCAGCAGUGGGGAAUAUUGCACAAUGGGCGGAAGCCUGAUGCAGCAACGCCGCGUGCGGGAUGACGGCCCUCGGGUUGUAAACCGCUUUCGCCUGUGACGAAGCGUGAGUGACGGUAAUGGGUAAAGAAGCACCGGCUAACUACGUG
rnacentral:rRNA from 1 species